GAAAUGGACCAUUCCAAGCUUCUCCCCUGAGUUUGGUGUAGAAAACAGGAAACUGUUUCACUUGUGAAGUUCAUAGCAGACAAAAAGAGUAGUUUUUAGGUUUUAGGAGUUUAUUGUUCGUGUCUGCAGCACACUAUGCUGCUGCUGGACCGAGUGAUGUGACUUAUGCUAAAAUUGACCUAAAAAAACUAAAGAAACCCAAGAAAAAACAAGG